UUCGAUAACGAACGAGACCUUAACCUGCUAACUAGAAGCGUUCACUUUGGUGGGCGUCGUCUUCUUAGAGGGACUAUCUAUGUUUAAUAGAUGGAAGUUUGAGGCAAUAACAGGUCUGUGAUGCCCUUAGAUGUUCUGGGCCGCACGCGCGCUACACUGAUAAAGUCAGCGAGUAUUCACCUUGACCGGAAGGUCUGGGCAAUCUUUUGAAACUUUAUCGUGAUGGGGAUUGACCAUUGCUUAUUUUUGGUCAUGAACGAGGAAUUCCUAGUAAGUGCGAGUCAUCAGCUCGCGUUGAUUACGUCCCCUGCCCGUUUCGAAUA
rnacentral:rRNA from 1 species